ACCUCCAUUGCAGACCUUCAAGUUCCAGGUUGUCACUGCCGUCGCCCGAUCCCAGCCGGAACUGCCGCUAACUGCAGAACCUCCUAUGUUGGUCGACAGCCACGCCAAGAUCAGCUCUGUUAUAUAAUACUUACUUCCAUCCACCAUUGUUUGCUUUUCAAUUAUCAAGUUCCUAACAUCAAGAAGCUAGUUGACACUGCCUUAAUUAUGGCAAAUAUAAUAGGGGAAAAAUACCAGAACCCAAAGAGGAGGGGUGAUGAAGACGAUUGAUGCCUAUAAAGCUUCUGAAAAAGCACAAUUUGGUAGAAGAGAUUUUGUAAGGAUUUAAGUUUAUUAAUUUGCCCUUUGAAGGCAAACAUUCUCAUUCUUGUCUUUUAUUGCACUCAAAUUUUCUUCAAGACACAAUUUAAAGAAUAUACUCUGGUUUUUCAGAUCUUGGAUAAUAUCUUCAUGCCAAAACCGUUUUGUGCGAUUACAGCAAUCCAAUUUGUGGAAACUCCAAUGUCCAAUGUUUUUACUUCCCCCUUCCCACAUUUUAUUUGUCCC